rnacentral:tRNA from 1 species
CGGAUGUAGCCAAGUGGAUUA